GCAUAUCAAUAAGCGGAGGAAAAGAAACCAACAGGGAUUGCCCCCAGUAACGGCGAGUGAAGCGGCAACAGCUCAAAUUUGAAAUCUGGCCCUCGGGUCCGAGUUGUAAUUUGUAGAGGAUGCUUUUGGUGAGGUACCUUCCGAGUUCCCUGGAACGGGACGCCAUAGAGGGUGAGAGCCCCGUCUGGUUGGAUACCGAGCCUCUGUAAAGCUCCUUCGACGAGUCGAGUAGUUUGGGAAUGCUGCUCUAAAUGGGAGGUAUAUGUCUUCUAAAGCUAAAUAUUGGCCAGAGACCGAUAGCGCACAAGUAGAGUGAUCGAAAGAUGAAAAGCACUUUGAAAAGAGGGUUAAACAGUACGUGAAAUUGUUGAAAGGGAAGCGCUUGUGACCAGACUUGGGCCCGGUUAAUCAUCCAGCGUUCUCGCUGGUGCACUUGGCCGGCCCAGGCCAGCAUCAGUUCGGUGUGGGGGAUAAAGGCGGCGGGAAUGUGGCUCCUCCGGGAGUGUUAUAGCCCACCGUGUAAUACCCUGUGCUGGACUGAGGUUCGCGCAUUCGCAAGGAUGCUGGCGUAAUGGUCAUUAGCGACCCGUCUUGAAACACGGACCAAGGAGUCGUCUUCGUAUGCGAGUGUUCGGGUGUUAAACCCCUACGCGUAAUGAAAGUGAACGCAGGUGAGAGCUUCGGCGCAUCAUCGACCGAUCCUGAUGUUCUCGGAUGGAUUUGAGUAAGAGCAUACGGGGCCGGACCCGAAAGAAGGUGAACUAUGCCUGUAUAGGGUGAAGCCAGAGGAAACUCUGGUGGAGGCUCGCAGCGGUUCUGACGUGCAAAUCGAUCGUCAAAUAUGGGCAUGGGGGGCGAAAGACUAAUCGAGCCUUCUAGUAGCUGGUUUCCGCCGAAG
rnacentral:rRNA from 1 species